GGCACCAAGCCCGUGCAAACAUGGGCCGGUUGCAUUUCACAAUUCAAGCUGACAAAUGCACAGAGAUCUUUAAAUACAAUGGUGUUGGACUAUGUAUUCGUCAAAAUGACGACAGUUGGGCCCAUGUUGUUGUUAUUGCCCCCACUGUCGGGAAAGAGAAGGUGCUUCUCCAUUCCAUUUCCCAGAUUCGUUCGCUGGUUUUUCCUUCGUGAUGCGCCUAAUCUGGAUUGUUCAAUACACCAGAACCACCUUUCCGUUGCAAGUGUCGCAGGCCAUCUGGACCUCAUGGUCCUUUAACAUCUUUCAGGUGGAUCGCGCACUCGAUCAUCAUAAGGAGGUUGUGAACUCACGACAGAGCACUGAACUGGGUUUUCUGGUUCUUGAUCAGGCGUUGCAACAC
rnacentral:lncRNA from 1 species